GAUGAACGCUAGCGGCAGGCUUAAUACAUGCAAGUCGUGGGGCAGCGCAGUGUAGCAAUACAUGGGCGGCGACCGGCAAACGGGUGCGGAACACGUACGCAACCUUCCUUUAACUGGAGAAUAGCCCCUCGAAAGAGGGAUUAAUACUCCGUAACAUAUACAUGUGGCAUCACAAGUAUAUUAUAGCUCCGGCGGUUAAAGAUGGGCGUGCGCCUGAUUAGAUAGUUGGCGGGGUAACGGCCCACCAAGUCUGCGAUCAGUAACUGGUGUGAGAGCACGACCAGUCACCACGGGGCACUGAGACACGGGCCCGACUCCUACGGGAGGCAGCAGUAAGGAUA
rnacentral:rRNA from 1 species